AAAAGUAUAUACUUGCAAAAAAAAUAAAAACAACCCUAAAAGCAAACAAAGUCUUAAAUUUCCCAACAAACACGCCUUAAUCUGACCUCACCGUAUUCAACGGUCAGAUUUCGCAUUUCGCCAAUUGUAAUCUCCUACACCGCACCCGCAUCACAACGAAGCCACACCCUCAGCAAACACAUCCUCCAAUAGCACCCAGACACGUGUCCAUUUCCGAUAAACAUUCAACGGUCAUUCAUUCGAUCAUGUUUCCUUCAUUUCUAUUAUUAACCCUACAUUUUGCGGAGACUUUUUCUGAAUCUUCACCUCUCCUCUACGCAUCCCAGUACUGUUUCAGUUUUGUGCAUUAAAAAUGAGUCGUCCACAAGAACCACAUAGGCCCUUUCUCCCAUUCGGUAACCCUUUCCGAAUGAUUUCACCAAAGGGUUCAUAUCUAUCUCCAAAACUUCUUUCUUUAUUGAAUACUUU